AAUAUAAUUAAUUGUACUAUACAACGAUUACAAUAAAUAUAUUUGUUAUCGAUAUCGAUGGUAAUCGAUGGUGCGAUCCGCAUGCGGGACGGAAACCGGUAGCGCCCCCGUGCGUUCACUUUCGUUCACUACCGCGUAAGAGUCUGGCCUUCCGCCAUUCGAGUACGUUGUCGCGGUCGUCUCACGGUAUUCGUUUCUCGUAUAUUCACCUUUUGUAUUAAUAAAGCUAUAGUGUCCACAGUUCGGCGUGUCGGUCGUUCGCGAUACUUCCACCCUAACACUAACAGGUUAUGGGCCCAGACUAUCCGAAAUCGCAGGAGUGACGUUCGGUUGCAUACACGCGGUACGAUACUUUGUCUGGCGCGAGAUCUCGGCGUGAGCGAGAGAGCUGUCGGGACGGAAGAGUGCCAUAAAGCACCGGAUACAGAACGGGACACUAUUGCGAGUGCUUCUCGGUUCGACGUACGCGCGGGAAAUCGAUCGAGAGUGCGGAGUAUACGACAAGAGUGAGACGCGCAUUCGAUCGCUGAUUUUUCGUGUUCCUUUUCUUCCCGUGACGCCGGUACGAACUGCACGCGAUGAAUACGAACAGUGGCGUACGCAUUGAGGCGCUCGGACGCGAUAACUACGACACGUGGAAGCUUCAGAUGAAAGCGUUGUUGAUCAAGAACGACGCUUGGGGGUAUGUAAGCGGAGACAUACCGAAGCCCGAACCCACGGAAGGCGACGCGGUUCGUGAAUGGUCCACGAAGGACGACAAGGCAAAGUCGGAUCUAAUACUGUCCAUAAGUGCCGGUCAGCUGAAACUAGUAAAAGGUUGCACAACGUCUCGUGAGCUGUGGAUUAAGCUAGAGAGCACGUUCCAAUCGAAGGGGCCGGCGCGCAAAGCAACCCUGUUGAAAAGUCUCACUUUACAAAAGAUGGACGAAACGGGCGAUGUGCGGGAGCACCUCCAUGUUUUUAUCGACGCGGUCGAUAAGUUAUCCGAUAUGGAUGUGGACAUCAAUCCGGAUUUGCUGGCGAUAAUGAUGCUCUACAGUUUACCGGCGAGUUACGAAAAUUUCAGGUGCGCUAUCGAAAGUCGUGAUCAAUUACCGACGCCCGAGAACUUACGCAUUAAGAUAAUUGAGGAAUACGAUGCGAGAAGAGCAUCUGCGUCAACCUCGGUGCAAGGUGCCAUGUUUGUGGGAAAGAAGAAGAAACCGAAGGCCCGUCCCGGAAAGAGUGAUCAACGCAAGGUCAAAAAUUUCGAGCUUAAAUGCUUCAAAUGUCACGAGAAAGGACACAAGGCCUCGGAGUGUACAUCGAAGAAGGCAAGUGAGACGAAAUCCACGGGGGUGUCCCUUCUAUCGACCGAUGACGGGGAUGAAGCGUGUCAGGCAGCAGAUAACUCUAACGUAAGUAUCUGGUGCCUGGAUAGCGGGUGUACUUCGCAUCUCUGCAAAGAUAUUAACACGUUUACAGACGUCAACGAGAGCGAUUCCGGCAGAUUGAAGCUGGCGAACAACGCAUCCACCGAAAUAAAGGCGAGAGGUGUUGCUAGAGUCGUGGCGACCGUGGAUGGCAAGCGGAGCGACGUGACCCUGCGAGACACGCUGCACGUUCCUGAACUCCGCAUGAACUUAUUGUCAGUCUCAAAGAUUACGGACAAGGGAUACGAUGUGAUCUUUAGCAAACGGAGGGCCACGAUCAUCGACAAGAACGGACUCACUAAGCUAACUGCGAAGCGCGCCGAUAAUCUCUACUACGUGGAAGGGACGCUGCCUGAAAGUUGCCAGGAGGUCGAACUCGUGAGUAAACCAAGCGAAAAUUCUGUGGCAUCGAUGAAUUCUUCAUCAAUCUGGCAUCGACGGAUGGGCCACCUAAAUUUUCGAGAUCUGCAUAGCGCGGUCAAGAGCGGAGCUGUUCGCGGAAUCGAUGUUCGAGAUGGAAACGAAGGCUUAAAAUGUGAGAUCUGCAUUCAGGGGAAGAUGACACGGCCGUCUUUUCCAAAGGAAUCCAGUCGGGAAACAAAGAAAUUAGAGCUCGUCCACACCGAUAUUUGCGGCCCUAUGCGCAUGUCGUCGAACGGCGGGUCGACUUACUUCAUCACGUUUACUGAUGACUGCACGAGGUGGACGGAAGUAAGAUUUAUCACGAAUAAGAGUCAAGCGCUCGAGGAGUUCAAGACCUUUAAAACCCUCGUCGAAAACCAACACAACACAAAGAUAAAAAGCAUCCAGUCCGACAACGGGCGCGAGUUCGUCAACAGGGAGUUCAAUGAAUACCUCAAGUCGCAAGGAAUACAGCGUCGUCUAACGACAGCUUACACGCCAGAACAGAACGGAGUGGCAGAGAGAAAAAACCGGACAUUGGUGGAAUCGGCGAGAUGUCUUUUGGUCCAAUCCGGUCUACCUUCAUCGUUCUGGGCCGAGGCGGUUUCUACAGCGAACUACAUACGAAAUCGAUGUCCUACCAAGAAGCUCAACGGAAAAACGCCUUACGAGGCUUGGCACGGCAGAGCACCGGUGGUAAAACACUUCAGAGAGUUUGGAUGCAAGGUGUUCUGUCUCGACAGAAACCCGACGAAGGGGAAGUUUGACGUUCGAUCAAGAAAAGGAGUAUUCAUAGGAUAUCCUGCUGAGUCUAAUGGUUAUCGAGUGUGGAUACCCGAGUCGCGAAAGGUCGAGGUAACCAGGGACGUGCAGUUUCUGGAGGAACACGUCGAGGGAUCGAAGACAUUGUUUGAAGACUUCCACCCGGGAGGCGAAACCAACGACCGAGAAGAAGAAAACGAUUCAGAGAAUUCUACUGAUCGUCCGAAGACCCCAUACAUCGAUAUUGAGCUAACCUCGAGACAAUCCGACGAAGAAACACUCGCAGAGGAGCCUGAGGGGGCAGAUCAAGGAGAUCAAAAUGAGGUCGAAACACCGGCACGUAGGGCCGGGCGCCCUCGCAUAAUUCGGACCGGACGUCCAGGUCGUCCUAGAAAGGAGCGCUGCGCCAACCUACAGGAUCGAGAUGAGGUCGCCUGUCUGGCCGAGAUCCCUAUAAAAUCAGCAAUCUCGGGGACGGAUUCAUCGGCCUGGAAAGAAGCUAUGGCAUCGGAGGUAAAAGCCCUUAUUACAAACAAUACAUGGACGCUAGUCAAACGCACCGAGGAUCAACAAGCAAUUGGAAGUAGGUUCGUCCUACGAAACAAGUAUAACUCUAACGGGGACAUUGAAAAGAGAAAGGCUCGCGUGGUAGCACGCGGAUUUUCCCAGAGACCCGGCAUAGACUUUCGCGAGACAUUUGCCCCCGUUGCCAGGCUGAGUUCUAUACGGACGGCGGUAGCUAUUGCAGCUCAGCGCGACAUGUUGAUUGAGCAACUAGACAUCACAACGGCUUACCUGAACAGCGACGUGAAAGAAAAAAUAUUCAUGGAACCUCCGAAACACUUAGAGGACAUCUUGGAGCACAUCGUUCAAUCCGGACAAGGAAGUAAGACUACCCGGAGCAUGGCAAGGGAUAUGCUGAAGGAGCUAAGGGAAGGAGACGUUGUUUGUCUGUUAAAAAAGGCCUUGUAUGGACUUAAGCAAGCGGGACGCGCCUGGAACGAACGACUGGACGAAGAAUUGCGAAGCGUUGGCGCGACACCUUCUGAAGCCGACCCGUGCGUCUACCACAUUGGAUCGGGCGAGAGUAGGAGCUUCGUGAUUGUAUACGUGGACGAUAUUUUGAUCAUGUCACGGGACAAGGCGAUCAUUAAGAAGCUGAAGGAUCAUCUCGGCGCCAAGUUCAGCGUUAAAGAUCUGGGCAACGUGAAGCACUGUCUAGGCCUGGAAUUCACGAGGAGUGAGAACGCGGUUACCAUCGGUCAAAGAGGCUACAUUCUGGAUGUCCUGGACAGGUUCGGCAUGUCCGAGUGCAAACCAGUGACGACACCGUUGGAACCCGGCCUCAAACUAGUCAGUGACCAGGACGACGAAACCGAGCAGGAAGCCGAUUUUCCAUACCGGGAAUUAAUCGGGGCCUUAAUGUACCUAUCCGUGGGAACGAGGCCCGACAUCACUCACGCAGUGAGCUACCUAAGCCAAUUCAACGACUGCUAUACUGAAACUCACUGGAAGGCUGCAAAGCGUGUUCUACGUUACUUGAAGGGAACCAGCAACAUGGGGCUCAUAUUCGAGCGCUCGGACGACCCUCCUAUGAUGUUUGCGGAUGCCGAUUGGGGAGGAUGCAACGUCGACCGUAGAUCAUACACAGGCUAUGUCUUCAUUAUGGGCGGAGGACCAGUGAACUGGGAAUCCAAGAAGCAGCAGACGGUGGCACUGUCAUCAGUCGAAGCAGAGUACAUGGCCUUAUCCGAGGCAACCAAGGAGGCCCUGUACAUGAGAGGACUAUUGAAGAACUUUGGAGUUAAUCUGAAGAGCGUCAUCAUAAAGAGCGACAGCUUAGGUGCGCAGAAAUUGGCUGCGAAUCCGGUGCAUCACGCUCGCACAAAGCACAUUGACAUCAGGCACCACUUUGUGCGUGACGCUGUCAAGAGGAGAGACAUAUCCAUCGAAUACAUUCCAACCGAUGAGAUGGCAGCGGAUGUUCUCACAAAAGGACUACCGAGAAGGAAGCACGAGGACUGUGUUCGUCUUAUGGGUCUGAAGUCCUUAAGCCUAUAGAGGUGUGACCGCCUCCGCUGCGGCUCGAGGGGAAGUGUUAUCGAUAUCGAUGUGUACGACGCGACCGCGAAAGUGCCUUCCGGCCUGCUGAGCGGGAACGUUAAUCAAUUCGGCGAUUUCGACGAGUGCGUCGGUGUCGAGGGCAAGGAUGGCAUUCGGGGACAGUAUUGUCUGGCGCAUUUGC